ACAGCGAAUCGUCGACAUCAAAGGUGCCCGCCGGGAGUGUCGAUUCUUGUUAUACCACCUCUUUGCUAUGGAUUUGAACCUUUGACCUGUAGAUUGCGAGUCAUACGUUUUACCGGGAAGCUAACCGUUUGUAUAUACGAGCCUGUCAUACUUCUCAAUGUAUAGGCGUGUUCAGCUCGACGAGCUCUACAAGGUCGAAGACCAUUACACUUGAGUAGUUCCUCUUGCCAGUAAGAACAAACUGAAGAAUGAAUCGCUUAUUUCAUGAAGCAAAUACGGUCAGAGAAAUAUGUAUAACUUUUGACAGGUAUAGGUUAGAGUUAAUCACAUCUUGAAAGUACUUAUUAAAAUAUUACAAGUAGAAUCAACCACAUAUUGCAUGAAAUAGAAUGCAAGAUGGAAUAAUGUUGCCCAGUAAUAAAUACAUGCAAGUUUAUUUGAGUUUAUUAGGACUUUAUAUGCUGUUGACAAUACAGCAUAGCAUGGUACGUACAUUCAUAUGUACUUUUGGCUACUCUUUCUAAAGUAACAUGUAACUUUUUAUAUCAAUAAAAAGAGCAUGUAAUAAAGGCGUUUCAAUAAUAGAGUAUGACAAUCAAAAUCAAAAUAGGGGUAUAUUUGUCAUUAUUUGGUCAUUAAUUUGGUGGAUUCCAAAUAUAGGUGCAGUUGAAUAUAAUCUAUCAAUAUAUAAUAAUAUGACUUCUUCUUCUUUUUAUAUAUUUUCAGCAUCUGUUCAGACAUUGAUGGGGAAAUUACAACCAAAAAAUUAUAAAGCAGAACAAUUGAAUAAAUACAUUAAAGAAAUUAACCAGCAUAGAAUGAAAUACUAGGACGAAUAUAGAAAAUGGAUGAAAUUACUUUGUCGCAAGAUAUAUCUGGAAAUAUGUUUAAGCAUUUAUUCAGACAUUGAUGAGGAAAUUACAACAAAGAAUUUAGCGAGUAGAAAAAUUUGAUACAUACAGUGAACAAAUUAUCCAAAGAAGAGGAUUAUUAAAUUAGAUAAGUUUGUCUUCCAAAUCAUGGACUAUAAAAACAAUGUAAUACCAGCAUAUUUUAAGUAAAUAAAUUAAUUGUUGAAAAUGA